GAUGAACGCUAGCGAUAGGCUUAACACAUGCAAGUCGAGGGGCAGCAUGGUCUUAGCUUGCUAAGACUGAUGGCGACCGGCGCACGGGUGCGUAACGCGUAUGCAACUUGCCUCACAGAGGGGGAUAACCCGUCGAAAGACGGACUAAUACCGCGUACACUCCAUCUUGGGCAUCCAAGGUAGAGGAAAUGAAAUUCGCUGUGAGAUAGGCAUGCGUCCCAUUAGCUAGUUGGUGAGGUAACGGCUCACCAAGGCGACGAUGGGUAGGGGAACUGAGAGGUUGAACCCCCACACUGGUACUGAGACACGGACCAGACUCCUACGGGAGGCAGCAGUGAGGAAUAUUGGUCAAUGGGCGAGAGCCUGAACCAGCCAAGUCGCGUGAAGGAUGACUGUCUUAUGGAUUGUAAACUUCUUUUAUACGGGAAUAACAAGAGUCACGGGUGACUCCCUGCAUGUACCGGAUGAAUAAGCAUCGGCUAACUCCGUG
rnacentral:rRNA from 1 species